AUGGCGGUAGAAGAAAAUUCCCUUAUGGAGCUUCUAAGAUUCAUGUACAUUGGAAAGCUGACAACAAUUGAGCCCACUCUUCUGCUCGACAUCUUAAUGGCUGCUGACAAAUUUGAGGUUCCUGCUUGCAUGAGGUACUGCAGUCAGUUACUCAUAAGCCGGCCUAUGACCACAGAAUCUGCACUGCUAUACCUAGGCCAUCCAUGCUCCAUUUUAAUGGCUGCUGAAGUUCAGAGUUUAGUACGUGCAGGGAAGGGAUUCCUUGCCAAUAAAUACAAGGAUUUUGAUAAGUUCCAAGAUGAACUGAUGAACAUCUCUCUUGUUGGAAUCGAAGCCAUCUUUUCGAGCAGUGACCUACAC
rnacentral:rRNA from 1 species